rnacentral:lncRNA from 10 species
AGCCAAUAAUGACAUGAGAAGCCUAGUCCAAAGACGUUUACAUCCUGGAAGAGAACUUGCUGGCUUUUCACCUCAGCAUGUAUGGGCCAAACUAAUAUAACAAGAAGUCUUGAGAGGAGUCAGCGGCCAAGCUCCAUGUCUUGCAGCCAAACAAUGCUGUGGGAUGGAAGGUGGGAUGUCAUGUGUCUGGUUUACAGCACUCACGUAUCAGUUGGCAGUUAACGGAAGUGCUACUGAUUGGUGAUAUGCCUACUCCCCCUUCACCUUCGAUCAUGAUUGUAAACUUCGUGAGGACAUCACCAAAGGCUGACAUUGGCAACAUGCUUCCUGUACAAUCUGCAGAACAACGAUGGAACAAAAUAAACACCUUUUCUUUAUAAAUUACCCGGCUUCAUGUAUUCCUUCAUAACAAUGCAAAGCAGCCUAAUACAAAUUGUCAGUGAGUAGGCAGAUUUUCAGAAUGUAUGGCUAAUUGGAAUUUCCAUGGUCCUAUAUGAGAAGAGAUUUGAAGUAAUUCCAUAGAAUGUUAUGAGCGCCCUGGGAGAAGAAAAAGGGUGAUUUUUCAGAAGGAAAAGAGUGUAAGAAAAACAUGAAAUUCAAUUUUCCAAUGACAGUUCUG